CAAUAAGCGGAGGAAAAGAAACCAACAGGGAUUGCCUCAGUAACGGCGAGUGAAGCGGCAACAGCUCAAAUUUGAAAUCUGGCCCUUUCAGGGUCCGAGUUGUAAUUUGCAGAGGAUGCUUCGGGUACGACGCCGGUUCUAAGUUCCUUGGAACAGGACGUCACAGAGGGUGAGAAUCCCGUACGUGACCGGCCGCCACGCCCGUGUGAAGCUCCUUCGACGAGUCGAGUUGUUUGGGAAUGCAGCUCAAAAUGGGUGGUAAAUUUCAUCUAAAGCUAAAUAUUGGCCAGAGACCGAUAGCGCACAAGUAGAGUGAUCGAAAGAUGAAAAGCACUUUGGAAAGAGAGUCAAACAGUACGUGAAAUUGUUGAAAGGGAAGCGCUUGCAACCAGACUUGCCCGCGGGCGAUCAACCGGUAUUUUUACCGGUGCACUCGCCCGUGGUCAGGCCAGCAUCGGUUUGGGCGGCCGGACAAAGCCCCCUGGAAUGUAGCUCCUCUCGGGGAGUGUUAUAGCCAUGGGUGGAAUGCGGCCCGCCCGGACCGAGGACCGCGCUUCGGCUAGGAUGCUGGCGUAAUGGUUGUAAGCGACCCGUCUUGAAACACGGACCAAGGAGUCUAACAUCUAUGCGAGUGUUUGGGUGUCAAACCCACGCGCGUAAUGAAAGUGAACGGAGGUGGGAACCCCUAAGGGUGCACCAUCGACCGAUCCUGAUGUCUUCGGAUGGAUUUGAGUAAGAGCAUAGCUGUUGGGACCCGAAAGAUGGUGAACUAUGCCUGAAUAGGGUGAAGCCAGAGGAAACUCUGGUGGAGGCUCGCAGCGGUUCUGACGUGCAAAUCGAUCGUCAAAUUUGGGUAUAGGGGCGAAAGACUAAUCGAACCAUCUAG
rnacentral:rRNA from 1 species